CCAUUCCUUUCCCCGGAUCCAGGGGCCUUCGCGCGGUUAUCAAAGUUAUAUUUACGCAUCGAGAAUUUUUCGAGUGAGCACUUGUGCGCACCUUCUCCUGUGGCUCUCGUGCCUUGAAGAAGUGUGCGGGCUUGUUUACAGCCGGGGCUCGUUUGUGCUCAACUCCUCAACCUGAGCCUCCUGUGAGCGCUCGCGUGAGCGGCGGCAGAUCUGGAGUGAACGCUGGCUUUCCCGCCACCUGACCCUAGUGACAGGAUUUGGUCGGCCUUCCGGGACUGUCUGUGACCUGGGGGAGUCCCCGGGGGCCCUAGAAGAGGGACUGACCCAAGUUCAGGGCCGCGCUGGGCUGGGUGGGGGAGGUGGUGCUGCUGGAGACCCGCCCCCAAAGCUAUGUCGUGGCCACUCAGGCUGCGCACGUAAUUUCUGCAAACCCUCGCCCCCUGGGCCCCCACUCUGUGUGCAAUGAGUCCAGCUCCAUCCUCCCCUAGAAAUUUCCCAGGGGUUGCCCGGAGAGGGCAUGAGCUUGGAGACCUGGAAGACGGUUCUGGCAAAAAAAAAAAAAAAACCCUCUGGAUUUGGACUUGAGCACACAGGUGUCUCAACCAUAUAACCAGCCGGCUCAGGCCUGGUGGAGACUAUCAAGUCAAGGUACCUGCCUGUAUUUGCCGUGCCGAGCACCCAGAUGGGUUCUUCCCAUGCAUCACCUCACAGUCACGGACCAUCAGAACCCCUCUGGGCAUCUCAUUCCCAUCCCAGACACCAAGAUGGCAGUCCCAGGGACAGGCCACAAGCAGUGUGCAUCCUUCUGGGUGAGAUCAGUGGGUUAUCAAGCCCACUGAGCAGACGAAGCUGUCCAGAAUGGAUUUUGGCUUCUCCCAGGAGGAUGAAGAGUUGGCAGAAGUAGUGUCUUCAUUCAUUCAACAAAGAUUGGCCCGCCUAUACUGUGCAGGGACUGUGCUUGGUGCCAGGGCAAGAGGGGCAGAGGUGAUCCUGACCUCAGGCCUCAGUUUCUAAAUGGACGCAGCCUUCCAAUCCAGUAGGAAUGGAGGAAGCAAGCAGUCGAUUCCUCUAAACCCAGGACAAGAGCAAAGAAAGCAGGAGACUGGGACACGGAACAGAAGAGAAAGUGUAAGUGUAAUUGCUAGCCGGGACUCAGGGAAGGUGUGAUCUGGUCCUGGUGUGGCUCCUGGGCCUUCGGCAGAGAGCAGGGCCAGGUCAGUCUGCUCACAGAACAACAGGGUGGCUCAAGGAGUCAAAACCCAAGUAGAGUUGGGUGGGAGUGGAAAGGCCCUGGGGAGAAACCAUGUCUCCCGGAGAGGCAGGGAAAUUGUCUGAGAAAGAGGGAUGAGUCAGGGGGUGGGGUACUCCCAGCAAAGGAGCAUGGCGGGGUCCCCUGGACCUGACAUGGCCAUGGGAGAUGUGUGGUCUCCCCAAGUAUUACUUGGAAUGACCCUCCAGCACCCCCCACCUCCAGCCUGCUCCACUAGCCACCCAGCAGCACCCUCAAGAGACUGGGGGCCCAGGCCCAGCACAGAAAAAGGCAGAGGAGAAGUUUCCCAAUCUCUUCCUGCUGACUUGGAAUGGUUGAAAAAGAAAAUGAGAGAGAUGAAUGGUUGGUUAUUUGAAUUUUGAUUCCCUGGAUCUUGCCCGUCUUAAGACUCCAGAACACUGAGGCUCUUAGCUGGAAGUGGAAUGCACCAGCCAGGGACAGAAUGGGUUUGCCCCAGGACCGACUGCAUAGCGAGCCCUCUAUAAGCUGAAUAUUGCAGAGGAGGAAGAAAAACUCCCAAGAAUCCGUGAUUCGUGUUGCUGUGCAGGACAGCGGGGUGAUGGAGAAAGAACAGGAGGCCAGGAAUUACCUGGUGAUUCACCCAGGGAACAGCUAAGAAAGGCAGAAGUGGUACUUGUGGCCCGGAAGCAGGAUCUCCCAGAACGAAGCAGGCUGGGCACCAUCCAAAACGGAGAG